CCUACGGGGGGCAGCAGUGGGGAAUAUUGGACAAUGGGGGGAACCCUGAUCCAGCCAUGCCGCGUGUGUGAAGAAGGCCCUCGGGUUGUAAAGCACUUUCAGUGAGGAAGAACGCCUGGUGGUUAAUACCCAUCAGGAAAGACAUCACUCACAGAAGAAGCACCGGCUAACUCCGUGCCAGCAGCCGCGGUAAUACGGAGGGUGCGAGCGUUAAUCGGAAUUACUGGGCGUAAAGCGCGCGUAGGUGGCUUGAUAAGCCGGUUGUGAAAGCCCCGGGCUCAACCUAGGAACGGCAUCCGGAACUGUCAAGCUAGAGUGCAGGAGAGGAAGGUAGAAUUCCCGGUGUAGCGGUGAAAUGCGUAGAGAUCGGGAGGAAUACCAGUGGCGAAGGCGGCCUUCUGGACUGACACUGACACUGAGGUGCGAAAGCGUGGGUAGCAAACAGGAUUAGAUACCCCUGUAGUC
rnacentral:rRNA from 1 species